rnacentral:rRNA from 1 species
GACGUAGGGCGCGAGCGUUGUCCGGAUUUAUUGGGCGUAAAGAGCUCGUAGGCGGCUUGUCGCGUCGUCCGUGAAAACCUGCGGCUCAACUGCAGGCUGGCGGUCGAUACGGGCAGGCUGGGGUUCGGUAGGGGAGACUGGAAUUCCUGGUGUAGCGGUGAAAUGCGCAGAUAUCAGGAGGAACACCGGUGGCGAAGGCGGGUCUCUGGGCCGAUACUGACGCUGAGGAGCGAAAGCGUGGGGGAGCAAACAGG